GCAAUCAUUAACCAUUCAACCCCAAUUAAUAUGAAUUAAAAGAUCUUUAAAAUAUUUAUGAGCAUACCAUUUUUUACUAUUAUCAAUAAAAUAUUCAUUUAUUAUAAAUUUAAAGUUAUACUACACAUCAAUCUCAUUACAUCCAACUACAUUAGUAAAUACAUUACUUAAUCCUCUCAGUCUUUCUCUAGAUAUAAUUCAAUAUAUUUACUACUCUAACUACUAUACUAUAAUAAGAGUGUCUUCAACUAUAUGGACAAUAGCCCUUUCACCCAUAACAAUAAUU
rnacentral:misc_RNA from 1 species